GGAAGUCUGCCGCCACGUCACUCUACCACUAAAACUUCCAUUACUCUCUAAUACUUAGCAUAUUUUGAAAGGAAGUUCAAUUUGCUCUCUUGGUGGUGUCUCAGGAAGGAGGAAUUCAUCAUUAAGGACCCCCAUGGUCUGGGACAUGCCCUCUUCACAUUCCUACCAUUCGCUCCGAAGUCCAGCGCUGAUGCCACAAUGCCACCAGCCGGCCAAAUCUGUUUAGUGAAUUCGCUUAAAGACUUGCCAGCCGUGAAGGAAGUCUCCUCCUCUCUUCAUGCUGAGUGUCAUCCAAGCUGCAAAUCAUCCUCCAGAUCAGAAAUUUGGGUGUGGUAAAAGAUUGCGCACACAAAAUAAUAACACCACUGUAAAAACCAACAUUGACAGUGGGGCAAAAAAGAGCUGAAGGUUUUUCCAUCCAUCAGUUUCAGUGUCUGUACAAUCAGUAUUGUUAUUAGUAGAGAUAUUUCUCUAUUUAUGCAAGUUCUCUAGAAUUCAAUGAAUUUCAACAGCAGGGCUUGGGAAAUCAAAUUGUUUCUCUACAAUUUUUUCUCUGUUUGUGUUUCCAAAGUUUGAAAACAGAAGCUCUUUAUUUCUACUCUUAAAACUGCUCUGAAAUGGAGAAUGCUUAGCAUUUUCACAUGAUGCCAAUUUACAUGUUCGUAAACAUCUUCAUGACACAGAGAAAAAUGCUUUGAAGUGCAGAAAAUGCUGUUGUAUAACCGAAUCAUGGGAAUGUUUCGCAAACACUGUGAAAUUUUAUGUACAGGGAUAAAGAAAAAUAGGGACAAUCUAAUUGGCUUCUUUGUGAGAUACCUUCCUCAUGACGCCAUAGGACCUGUGACACUGUGACACAAGUCCAUUAGCUGAGUGCCACAUUAAAUGC